rnacentral:lncRNA from 1 species
GUCUUGGCACCUCUAAUUGCUCUCGUGUAUUCGGUGCCGCGACUUUCACGAUGGCUCGCCCAACCUUACUACCUUCUGUCGGCCCUGCUCUCUGCUGCCUUCCUACUCGUGAGGAAACUGCCGCCGCUCUGCCACGGUCUGCCCACCCAACGCGAAGACGGUAACCCGUGUGACUUUGACUGGAGAGAAGUGGAGAUCCUGAUGUUUCUCAGUGCCAUUGUGAUGAUGAAGAACCGCAGAUCCAGUAAGUUUAGUUCACUUCUCAGACUCAAGGUUAGAUCUAAUGCCCUUUGGAGGUGCUUUGCUUCAUGUUAAGAGAGUGGCAAUCAUUUGGUAAAUUUGUCCUACGUUUAAUUCCAAGGCUGAAUUUGAACUUGGACUUCUAUCCCCUCCCUGUCUCCUAUUUCAAAGUGCCCCAUGAAGAGGGACAAAGAAUGGGAUAUAGGAGUGCACAGCCCAGCCUGACCUGUGACAUCUCUGUGUUUCAGUCACUGUGGAGCAACAUAUAGGCAACAUUUUCAUGUUUAGUAAAGUGGCCAACACAAUUCUUUUCUUCCGCUUGGAUAUUCGCAUGGGCCUACUUUACAUCACACUCUGCAUAGGUGAGGAGACUGCCUUUCUUUCUUUUUUUUUUUUUGUAAGACUGUGUUGAUAGACUUGAUUGUGGAAACCACAGUCCCAACAGUUGCAAUCCCAAACAUGUUUCUCCAUACCCUUCUUCCAUAUCUCAUACCUAAUGAAUUAUAUAUGUAGCUCAGAUGAU